rnacentral:rRNA from 1 species
GAUGAACGCUGGCGGCGUGCCUAAUACAUGCAAGUCGAGCGAACUUUUGGGAACUUGCUCCCAAAAGUUAGCGGCGGACGGGUGAGUAACACGUGUGUAACCUUCCUGUAAGACUGGGAGAACUUCACGAAACCAGAGAUAAUACCGGAUAACAUUGAAUACAACAUGGCCUUCAAUUGAAAGGUGGCUUUUAUCUACCACUUACAGAUGGACCCGCGGCGGAUUUGCCAGUUGGUGAGGUAACGGCUCACCAAGGCGACGAUGCGUAGCCGACCUGAGAGGGUGAUUGGGCCACACGGGACCGGGACCAGGGCCAAGCUUCUUACGGAGGCAGCCGUAGGGAAAUUUUCGCCAAGGAGCAAAAGCUUACGGAGGAACGGCGGGUUGGGGAAGGAGGGCUUCGGGUCGGUAAGCUCCUUUUUUAGGGAAGGAAAAGUAGCGUUCGAAUAGGGCGGUAUCUUGACGGUACCUAACCAGAAAGCCACGGCUAACUACGUG